CCAUAUCAGGUUGAAACACUGUUUCUUGUAAGGUCACCUAAGUUAAGAAACGUCGAGCCUGGUCAGUACCUAGAUGGGUGACCACUUGGGAAUACAGAGUGUCGUAC